GUGGAUGUGUGCACGCCACACAGGCCAUGUAAGGUAACACGGUAUCGGGAGCUCAUCUAGAAUAGGCAGAGUUUAGGGAUCCUAGUGCUUUCACCCCUAGCUUGUUGGUGUCCGUGCGCUAAUGAUUUAAUUUCUCUGAGUGGCACGUAUUUUCUCAUCUUAAAUGGUUGGUACCAGUGAUACCAACCGCCCAGGAUUGUCGGAGGUUUACAUGAGAUAAUGGGAGGACGUGCCAGGCAUGCAAGGUCAAUAAAUGUACUGGGCUAGCCGUAGUAUUUGUUCCUCAAAGCAUCGAUGUGAGAUAGAUGUUAUUCCCAUUUUACAGAGAGGAAAAGCGAGGCUCAGCCACAGUAAGUAACUCUACCAGCAUCCCUCCUCUGGGAAAUUGCAGGGCUGGAGUUUAAAAACAGGGCAGCUUGGCUCUAAAAACCCAAGAUGUCGCAGUCACUAUAACUGAGUAACAAAUUUCUCCAAAAUGUAGUGGCAUAAGACAGUCAUAUUUUGGGCUUACGUAUAAAUUCAGAGAGUCCACCACAAGGAAGGCUCGUUUCUGCUCCACCGGGUCUGGAGCCUCAGUUGAAAGGCUCAAACCCUGAAGGCUGCACUCAUCGGAGCGGAGGCGUCUUCACUCGCACGUCUGCUGACUGAGGCUGGCUCGAGGCUGGGGCUCAGCUCCUCUCCCCAUGGGCCUCGCCGUGAACCCUCUCUGCGGGGACCAGCUGGGGCUUCCUCACAGCAUGGCGACACGGCCUCCCCCAGCCCACGAGUGAGGGUCCAGAAAAGAGAGCGAGAAGCAGGCAGAAGUCACCUGGGCUGUUAUGACCCGGCCUUGGCAGAUGGGCAGUGUCAGGUUGCUGUAUCCCUACCGUCACCAUCAUCGUAAAGGCCGCUCCUUCCCUGAGGAAGGAAAAAUAGGCUUCACUUUUUGAUGAAGGAUUAGCAGGGUUGCAAAAGGAAAUGUAUGAGCAAAACGAACUAUUACCGCGUCUAGCUGCUUUUGGAAAAUACAAUCUGUCGCAUGAAGGAAACUGAAACAACAUCCAAGAGACGGUGAGUCCACACGGGCCAAUCUGAUCCUAAUCUUUGUAACACUCACAGACUCAGCCCAUGGAGACACACAUAGCGUUUGUUGGAUUAAAGGAAUAAACACAGAAUAUCCACGUCAAGCAGUUUUGGGGGUUUUGUUACCAUUCUUCCACCGUUCCUAUUUACUGCUUUCUUUUUACCUCUGCAGCUGAAAUGUUCCAUUUCAUGGUUGUUUUGCUUCCGGGUUUAUUUCUUCGAUUUGGAGCGUCCACAGGAUGGUAUUUCAUUAUAACACCUAUUUCAUGUCUUACAAGAGUCCCUGGAGGAAAAACUCUUGAAAGCCCCACAGGCAUGUAUGUCUUCAAACUUCCAUCAGAAACUUCAGCUCUUAGGACGACACCACCUUUUGCUUUGCUCAGCCGUGCUCAGCCCCUGGGUGUUGAGCACGUGCUAAGCCUUGGACUUUCUGUGGACUGUGCAUGGAGGUAACGCGACCCUGAAACCAUAGUCCUGAGGCUUGUCAUGGGAUUAGGGCUUGAAUCAUAAAGGAAUAUUAUGGGUGACAAAUUCUGUAAAGGUUUUAUGGACAUCAUCUGAAGCUCCCUGCUGAUCUCAUGAGAGAGUAUGAAUAUCCUCAUUUUACAGAUGAGAAAACUGAAGACCAAAGAGACGGAAGAACCUGCUCGAGGUUACGCAGCAGGAAAUGGCAGAGCUGGGAUUCAAGCCCAGCUCUGACUGACUCCAAAGCCCCUGCUCAUAUUCGUAUGCUACCCGGCUUCCCACUUGCACAUUCAUAGAAACUGCUGCCUAAAGAAGCAUCUGAUUUUUUUUUCCUUCUGACUACCAAGCUAAAUGUUCCUGCACCCUUUGGCUGCUGUUUUCAUGAGCUGAACAGGCUCUGGAUGGCUAAGAACAGUUUUUGAUUAAUUAGAUUUUUGUUGCCAAUGAAUUAAUUUGGCCCCCCCCACCCCCAGCCCUCCCUCUUUGCUCUAAAAGCACACAAGAAAAUGAUUUUAGCAGCGGGGAUAAUUACAGAAAAUGUGGUGUUAACUCAAACGGAAUGCAAAUAUUUUAGAUUUUGUAUUGUUCUCCAGGACCACCAACGUGGAAAGAAAAGAGUGAAGUGAGCCUCAGCAGACAUCGGCAGAGAGCAUGACACCAAGCUGGGAACCUCCAGUCACUUUUCCCUCCCACAAUCUCAAAGAGGAACAAUCUCGAGAUUUGAACCUGGAUUUUAGCGGGAGGGAUGGCGACCAUUGGAGUCACUGGGUAGGCUCACGCAGAUAAGAAAGCCCAGCAAAGUGGCAGGUGAAGUCAAGGCCUUCCUUUCUCUGGCACCUGCCUUGCCUGGUCGUCAUGGUUUCUCUCUGAUGCACGCACAUGUACAGCCACAUCACACGUUCACACCUGUGGGCUUGGAGGGCUGCAGCAGUGGCUUGUUGAAAGGGAGGGAACAGAGUGGCUGUGCAGGGGGCAAAUCUCACACGAGGGGUCCAGGUUGGAAUGGAGAGGAUGGAGGACUCCAUUUUACUUCCCCUUGCCUGGAUUUGUCUUACAUUUUCUAGAUUUAUUCCUUCAUUUUGCUUGAAUACCUCCUAGUAGCUUCCUAGGAAAGGAUUCACGGAGAUCAGUGAUCUCCAUGUUUGCAAGUCUCAGUAUUCCUUUAUUCUGCUCUCAUAUUCUGAUAGAUAGUUCUCAGUUCUAGGCUGAGAACUAGAAUCCCGAAGGCGUUUUUGCUACCACAUUGCUACUCAAAGUGUGGUCCAUGGACCAGUGUCAACAUGGAAACUAUUUGUCAUUUAUCUGUGAGGAAACCGAGAGUAAGCGUUUCCCAACUUUUAUACCAAGUUGACUAUGUCGUUUUAUGUCUAUUGAAGCUGAUAAUAA